UUUUUUUUUCUUCUGUCAACUUAAGAAAGUUUUGAAACGUGCUCCAGCCUCACAUUGUCUUACCGGUUUCAUAUUUGUACUGCUCAGCCUGAGAAAAGUUUUUAAGUGUGCUCGAUGGCCCACCAUAUCUCACACCAUCAGAGUUUUAUUUGUGUUUUUUAGUUUGUGCUGCCCAAUGCGAAAGUUCUUAAGGGUGCUCGAGGCAUAUGUUUUUUAUCCGAAUCCAGAACUAGUCCAUUUUCACGUUCAUACGAAAGUUUUGAAAGGUGCACCAGCCUCACGUUGUCUGUUUCAUGUUCAUAUUACUGAGACUGAGAAAGUUUCUAAGAGUGCUCAAGGCUAACAUUUCCUUACCAGUUCCUCGUUAAUUUUGCUCAACUUGAGGAAGUUUUUCAGUGUGCUCCAUGGCCCACUAUAUCUCAGGCCACCAGAGCUAGUUUUAUUUCUGCUUUUAUAGUUUGUGCUGCCCAAUG